GAUGAACGCUGGCGGCGUGCCUAAUACAUGCAAGUCGAGCGAAUGGAUUAAGAGCUUGCUCUUAUGAAGUUAGCGGCGGACGGGUGAGUAACACGUGGGUAACCUGCCCAUAAGACUGGGAUAACUCCGGGAAACCGGGGCUAAUACCGGAUAACAUUUUGAACCGCAUGGUUCGAAAUUGAAAGGCGGCUUCGGCUGUCACUUAUGGAUGGACCCGCGUCGCAUUAGCUAGUUGGUGAGGUAACGGCUCACCAAGGCAACGAUGCGUAGCCGACCUGAGAGGGUGAUCGGCCACACUGGGACUGAGACACGGCCCAGACUCCUACGGGAGGCAGCAGUAGGGAACCUUCCGCAAUGGACGGAAGUCUGACGGAGCAACGCCGCGUGAGUGAUGAAGGCUUUCGGGUCGUAAAACUCUGUUGUUAGGGAAGAACAAGUGCUAGUUGAAUAAGCUGGCACCUUGACGGUACCUAACCAGAAAGCCACGGCUAACUACGUGCCAGCAGCCGCCGUAA
rnacentral:rRNA from 1 species